rnacentral:tRNA from 1 species
ACCGCCUUAGUUCAGUUGGUAGAGCUUCGAAGUACAAAUCCGGAAGUCAUCGGUUCUAAUCCCGCAAGGAGUCG